AGCUUUGCGCAGUGGCAGUAUCGUAGCCUAUGAGGUUUAUCCGAGGCGCGAUUAUUGCUAGUUGAAAACUUUACCCAAUACCCCGCCUUGACGA